UAAUAGUGUAUAUUAAAGUUGUUGCAGUUAAAAAGCUCGUAGUUGAAUGUUGGUGUCGAACGAGCGGUCAGCUUCGGCUGUACUGCUCUCUCGACUCCUUCCUUCUGUGGACUACGUCGCACUUUACUGUGUGGCGCUAGGACGCAGAUCGUUUACUGUGAAAAAAUUAGAGUGUUCAAAGCAGGCCGUACGCUUGAAUACAUUAGCAUGGAAUAAUGGAAUAGGACGUCGGGCCUAUUUUGUUGGUUCUAGGACCGUCGUAAUGAUUAAUAGGGACAGUUGGGGCCGUUUAUAUUCCGUAGUCAGAGGUGAAAUUCUUGGAUUUGUUAAAGACGGACUACUGCGAAAGCAUUUGCCAAGGAUGUUUNCAUUGA
rnacentral:rRNA from 1 species